UGGGGAAUUUUGGACAAUGGGCGCAAGCCUGAUCCAGCAAUGCCGCGUGCAGGAUGAAGGCCUUCGGGUUGUAAACUGCUUUUGUACGGAGCGAAAAGGUCUGCCCUAAUACGGUGGGCUCAUGACGGUACCGUAAGAAUAAGCACCGGCUAACUACGUGCCAGCAGCCGCGGUAAUACGUAGGGUGCGAGCGUUAAUCGGAAUUACUGGGCGUAAAGCGUGCGCAGGCGGUUAUAUAAGACAGGUGUGAAAUCCCCGGGCUCAACCUGGGACCUGCAUUUGUGACUGUAUAGCUAGAGUACGGUAGAGGGGGAUGGAAUUCCGCGUGUAGAAGUGAAAUGCGUAGAUAUGCGGAGGAACACCGAUGGCGAAGGCAAUCCCCUGGACCUGUACUGACGCUCAUGCACGAAAGCGUGGGGAGCAAACA
rnacentral:rRNA from 1 species